rnacentral:rRNA from 1 species
UACGGAGGGGGCUAGCGUUGUUCGGAAUUAUUGGGCGUAAAGCGCGUGUAGGCGGCUUUGCAAGUCGGGUGUGAAAGCCCUCGGCUCAACCGAGGAAGUGCGCCCGAAACUGCAGAGCUUGAGUACCGGAGAGGAUGGCGGAAUUCCCCAAGUAGAGGUGAAAUUCGUAGAUAUGGGGAGGAACACCGGUGGCGAAGGCGGCCAUCUGGACGGAUACUGACGCUGAGACGCGAAAGCGUGGGGAGCAAACAGG